AGACAGCUGACUAAGUAUGACUCAGACAUACAGAGAAGAGCGGGGUAGGUGCUGAGACAGAAGCCUUCUCUCUUGACCAUGAAAUAAAGUGGACAGGCCACUCCACAGAGAAGAAUAGGGAAGGUCAAUAUUCCCACUCAUGAAACGCUGGGGGUGGCUUUUAACAAUCUCUCAACAGGAGCUGAGGGAACCUGUCUGAAAACAUCGUUUAGAAGUUGUUUUGCCUCAUCUAAUAGAUUAAAGCACAUCAUUUUGACUUACGGAUAAGGCACGUUUUAUGAAGUUUUAAAGAAGAAAUCCUAGUACUUAGCUACCUGAGAAUUAAAAUGAAGAGAAGAAAAUUUCCUGGGGAGAUAAUAGGGCGACACCAGACAUAAAUCAAGUGGCGAGAAGAGGUGGCUGCUUUUAGAGACCUGAGGGAGGAGGACAGAGCUUCUUGGAUCUUCAAGAGUGAUGCUACAUGAGGAGAGGGAAAAUGAUGCGUCUGAUUCAGAACCGUUCACUGAAGGCCAGAGAAACUCAGUACAGCACACCUGCUAUAAAAAAGGCUUCAAACACACACUCAAUAGCUUGGUUCACCCCUACCUCCUUCCAGACCAAUUGCUUCCUAGGAGCCUCAAGUGUCACCCAUGUUCAGAGUUUUAAAAACCAGUCAGGCUCUAGGAAUAACACUCUGCUCAGCGGAGGGUAAGUCAUGGUCAUGGUCAUACAUUUCCCCAUUUCUCUCUUAGUUCUUUUUAUAAGAGGAUGAGAGAAAGAGAAAGAGAGAGAGAGAGUAAGAGAGAGAGAGAGAUGGAGAGAGGGGGAGGGAGGGAGAAGGAGGGAAGGAGAGAUUGAGAGAGAGAGAGAGCGAUCUAGAGAGAGCACAUAUGUGUAUGCUGUUGUCUUCCCCCAGACAGCAUGAGAGGCUAGGGAUCAAUGUGUCUGCUAUCUGGCUUCCUCUAUCAGUUGACACCUUAUUUUUGUGAGACCGGCUCUCCCACUAAACCCGUAACUUUUCCUCUCAGGCAAUCUGCUAAGCAAAAUCUUGAGCUUGGCUUGUCCCCUAACUCAGCCCUGGAGUAACAGUCAUAAGCCUGUUUUUGUUUUUGUUUUUGUUUUGCACCUGCAUUUUGAUGUGGCUGAUAGGGAUUCAAACUCAGUUUCUCUUGCUUGAAUGGAAUACAUUUAUCUUCUGAAACGUAUCAUCGGCCCCAAACCGAUAUAAUUUGAAGUGUUCAGUCUCAGUUCAUAUUCUAUUCUCCCAAGUAGGGCUUCUUGAAGCCUUUCCAAUGCCGUCCUCCUUUCCUAUCCCUGUCUGUCUUCCACUUUUUACAGUAGGUCUGACUCUUCUAGCAUCUUUGCAGGAGAGACAGGAAUGGCCAACAGUAGAAGAAAAAGAUGGAGGUGGGGGUGUGUCAUGACUGAUGCUGUUGACAUCUACCUUUGCUCUGUAAUCUUGAGGGGGAAGUUAUGUUCUGGGAGUAGUGUUUUGUAAAGAGCCACCAUUUCCUAUGUGACCCUUUUUAUUUACCCAUGAGGCAUUACCUCUCAGGUAAUAAGCUAUACACCCAACCCCCACUGAUUAGUCAGAGGAAAUUACCCAUGAACCAAUUUCUCUUAUCUCCAGCUCUCCAACUUUGACUCAUCCUUAACCUGGGCCACUAGAAAGCCCGUCCUUAAGGAUCUUUCAAAGAAUAGGUUGGUUUUUG
rnacentral:lncRNA from 1 species